rnacentral:lncRNA from 1 species
CAACAUGUUCUAGAACUGCGUUGAUGCUUAGCAAUUGGGUUUAACUUUAGCAGUUUGGUUAAGCUUCACGAAGUUAUGAAGAAACCCCUUGGGACUGUAGUUGGUGAAGAGUAAAGUUAAAAGGCAGCUAUGGAGUAGUAUGAGCCUGAAAGCUCCUGAAGGUUCCCUGUGCAUCCACUGUAAGAGAAAAGACCUUUCUGGGAGCAAUUCUUCCAAAUAAUAAUGAAAAGCUAUGAAGCUGUCAGUGCAACCCUUAAAAUCAAGGUUGUUUUGAAAUGGUAAUGUGUUCAUUGUAACAGGUAAUGGGAACAUUACAUCUGGCCUUCUUCAGGAUGAGUCACACGCUUUUCCUCUUCUCAGAGACUUGGCACCUCUGUGUGAUGAAAUCCAAAUACUGGCUGUGCUUACAGGGCUGAGCAAAACACAGAGCAGAUGAAGAGAUACAGGUCAAUAUGCACAUCUAUAGCUGUUUGCCAAGAUGACACGGAUCCAGAGGAAUGUUUGAAUAUCAUCCAGAAAUUGUCAUUCCUGAAUAUACAUCCUCUGAGAUGACCCUGGAGAAUACACACCUGGUUUUCACUUAACCAAUUGCAGAAGAGAUACCAGCUGAAGAGCACAGGAACACUGGAAGAUUUUCAAACAGAUCAAUGUUGUUGCUAAAAUAUCCUGGGAUUUGGGAUACACUGGUCCAUAUUGUUUCUUUUGCUCAAAAAAUAAAAGACACUGCCCUAAGAAACAGGGCAUUAUGAAAUGACUUCAGCUUUGCCAUUUUGAUGAACAGGGCUGUAGCUUGCGGGGCCUCAUUGUUUGGGAAUGCUGCAUAACAAAAAGAAAGGCCGUGCACUGAGGAGCUUCUGCGAGAAAUUUCUUCAAAACCAAACCAAACCAAACCAAACCAAACCAAACCAAACCAAACCAAACCAAAUCAACAACCUACUCGGCAGCAAGGAAUAGCCCACUUCCCAAAAUUGACUUGGUACCUGGCAGCAUUCAACAGUAUUAAGUUGGAAAAGGAACAGGAGAAUAUUGAGAAGCAAAGCUGCAAUUUUCUCCAGCAUUUUGCUGUCUCCCUUCAUUGCAUGUCUGCGAGAAACAAACAAGGUAUGAUGAGUUUCUGUUGGUAACAGUUUGGCAAAAUCGGGAUACUUCAGCUGAAAGUGCUGGAUGUAGACAUGAUUCUCCACAUUUUGGGUCCACUGCAUACACAGGGCUCUCUCUGCCUUCAGUUCCACCACUGCUUCAGCCUUCAGUUCAUUAGGUUCACUUUGUUCAGCCUGCAGCAAUGUGGCUCCCAGAUGUGUUUUCCGGUAUUUCGUUUAUAACUGUGAGGAAUCUACAGCAUCCAGUCACCCCUGUGUCUGCCUUUUUUUUCCUGGCAUUGAAGUUCUUUGAACAGGACAUUCCUAUUAACAUCAACAGUCAAAAAUGAAAUAAAACUGAAAAACCCUGUCA